AGUGAACGCUGGCGGUAGGCCUAACACAUGCAAGUCGAACGGCAGCACAGUAAGAGCUUGCUCUUACGGGUGGCGAGUGGCGGACGGGUGAGGAAUACAUCGGAAUCUACUUUUUCGUGGGGGAUAACGUAGGGAAACUUACGCUAAUACCGCAUACGACCUACGGGUGAAAGCAGGGGAUCUUCGGACCUUGCGCGAUUGAAUGAGCCGAUGUCGGAUUAGCUAGUUGGCGGGGUAAAGGCCCACCAAGGCGACGAUCCGUAGCUGGUCUGAGAGGAUGAUCUGCCACACUGGAACUGAGCCACGGUCCAGACUCCUACGGGAGGCAGCAGUGGGGAAUAUUGGACAAUGGGCGCAAGCCUGAUCCAGCCAUACCGCGAGGGUGAAGAAGGCCUUCGGGUUGUAAAGCCCUUUUGUUGGGAAAGAAAAGCAGCAGGUUAAUACCCCGCUGUUCUGACGGUACCCAAAGAAUAAGCACCGGCUAACUUCGUG
rnacentral:rRNA from 1 species